rnacentral:rRNA from 1 species
CCAGCAGCUGCGGUAAUUCCAGCUCCAAUAGCGUAUAUUAAAGUUGUUGCAGUUAAAACGCUCGUAGUCUGAGGUUGCGCCAGCCGGAGCGGUGCAAGCGAUUGCGCUGCGGCGGGGGGCGCUUGUUGGGCAGGCCUUUGCGGGCGUGUCCGGGUUUACUUUGAGGAAAUUAGGGUGUUCAAAGCAGGCGAUGCGCUUGGAUACUGCAGCAUGGAAUAAUGGAAUAGGACUCGCGUCUUAUUGUGUUGGUUUGGGGACUGUGAGUAAUGAUUAAUAGGGACAGUUGGGGGCAUUGGUAUUCAGUAGUCAGAGGUGAAAUUCUUGGAUUUACUGAAGACUAACUAGUGCGA